AAAGAUCGCAGCCUGCGGCAGCUCCUGCAGAGGAAUGCAUUUUCCUGUAGGAGCUGCCGCAGGCUGCGAUCUUU
rnacentral:misc_RNA from 1 species